GCGGAUAUGGUCGAAUGGUAAAAUUU
rnacentral:tRNA from 1 species